rnacentral:misc_RNA from 1 species
GGAAAUUUGUAUACUAUUAACCCAAAAAUCAAUAGGGAAAAACACCCAUCUUGGAAGCCCUCGUUGCUAUUCAAGUGAGCAAAAACCCGGAGCCGCUAAACCCUUGCACGAGAAUGAAAAACACUCUUCGGUAGCUAAUUGCUAACCACAUCCUUCAUCCAUGGUCACCAAGUUCUUCCUCAGACCCAACUCUGUUCCCCUUACCGUCGUCUCCCCAACCCAUUUGUUCCUCUUCCCUAAACCCCUUCUCUCCAAGUUCACCAUUAGUUCUCUUUUUUCGACAGCUACUCAGGCAAUAAUCCCAAACCCAAAAGCCCUCCCCUAUGGACCCUCUCUUCUCAAAGGAAAAAUCCCAUUUCAAUACUCACAACAACAGCAGCAACAAGAGCAAUACUGCCAAUCCCAAUUUGGUAUAAAACUGCUUAAUGUGGACAAACAAAGCCAGGACGAUGAUAAACAAGAGGACCAUAAUGAUGGUGAUAACAUAAUGGACGAGGAAAAAUUCACUCGGGUCUUUGACAUAGCUGCGCUUCGACUCCCUGCCAAAGAUUGUUUUGCUCUGGAGAGCAGACUUCGUGGCCAUUUAUUGAAUUGGCCGCGGAUUCGCAACAUUGCUAGAGUGCCUGGAGAUGAAGUGGAAGAAGAGCUCGUGCCUUUCUUGGGAGCCACCCAAAAUGGGAACACAGAUGAGGAAGGAAAUUUUGAUGCAUUGAAUCGAAGGAUCUACGGGAGAGCCGAGGGAGAUGGUGAAGAAUUAAGUCCUGUUUUGUAUCGGGAAAGAUUAGCAAAGGAGUUCAAUUCAAGGGGGUUUGUUAAGUUCAGGAAUUUAGCUAAGAUUUCGAGGCCGCCAAGGAAGAAGAGAAAGGGAGGAGAAGGAGAGGAGACGAUGAAAGAGAGAAAUAAGAGGAAGGGGAGAGAUGAAUUUUAUAUGGUGGAGGUCGUGGAAGAGGAUGGCGGAGAGGAUUGGAAAGGGUUAUUGGGGGAUGAGUUUAAGGGAAGAAGCAAAUGGAGGGGUUCAACAAGGUUGUUGCUUUUGGAUGAGAGCUACGCAGAUAAGGGAGUGGAGGAUUUGCCUCAGGCUAUCAAGGUGGCUUUAAAAGAAUCUAUGAGAGAAAACUCAACUUCUACCUUUGAGCUUAUUAGAUGCAAGCUGAUUUUGUUUUAUGAUUACUGGCAGAUGAAUGAGGUCUUGGAGGGCUUGCUACCACAAGGUAUGAUUGUUCCAUCAGCUUUCGAAACAAUUGGGCACAUUGCACACCUGAACCUGAGAGAUGAGCAUCUUCCCUACAAGAAUCUUAUAGCAAAGGUAGUUUUGGAUAAAAACAAGCCAAAGAUACAAACUGUUGUAAAUAAGAUUGAUGCCAUACACAAUGAUUAUAGAACAAUGCAGCUUGAGGUUUUAGCUGGAAAUUGCUCCCUUGUCACCAUGGUAGUUGAGAAUGGAUUAAGAUUCCAGGUUGAUUUAGCAAAAGUGUAUUGGAAUUCAAGGCUUGCAACUGAAAGACAAAGGCUUCUGAAUGGCUUUACACGCAGUGAUGUUGUUUGUAUGUUGAAUGUUCACCUUAUUUGAGUUCAUACGCAUGCAGAUUUCUAUUGUUAAGCAUCUAUCUAGAGUUUUCAGCUUAUGGAUUGUCAUAUUUGAUCACUAGAUUAGUCCCCUGAGCCCUCGUGCCCUCCACAAAUAACAGCAUUAUCAUUUGAAAGACCUUUUUAUGGUUGUUCUCCAAAGCCAUGCCAGUUAUUUGGACAGUGGCUCUAUUAAUGUGCUCACUUGUUUCUUUUUAUGAUCUGCUAUUGAAGUACUGAAUUGUUUCUUUUUGAUAAUAUUUUUCGAUUGAUAGGUGAUGUUUUUUCUGGUGUUGGUCCGAUAGCUUUAUCUGCUGCCAAGAUAGUGAAACGAGUAUAUGCCAAUGAUUUGAACCCUCAUGCAGUUGAUUAUCUGGAGAGAAAUAGUGUUCUCAACAAGCUUGAGAGGAAGAUUAAAGUAUGAUGGAGUGUCUCAGAAGUAAAAAGUUGGUGUAAUCAUCUCUUAACAAUUCUGCUUCAUGUUAAGGAUCUUGUGUUGUCAUUUUAUAGGUCUUUAAUAUGGAUGGAAGGAGGUUCAUUAAUGCUGUGUUCUCAAGUGAGAAAGCUCAGACCAUUACACAGGUGGUUAUGAAUUUGCCAAAUGAUGCAUCAGAAUAUCUAGAUGUGUUUAGGGGAAUAUUCAAAGAUAACCACAAGAAGAGAGAAUUUACUUUGCCAAUGAUCCAUGUUUAUGGAUUCUCCAAAGCACAAGAUCCAGAAUUUGACUUUCAUGAGGUAUAUAGCCUAAAUCUUCUAAGGAAUUUUUAUAUUUCUUUUUCCCUGAUGGCAAGCUGAACUUAGUAUACACAUUCUGUUUACAUCUCUCUUCUGCCCCUGAUCUUCUGUUGUUUUUUUCCCCUUUAUUUUUCUGAAUUUGUUUUCUGAUCAAUGUAAAUGUAGAGGAUAAGAAUUGCAUUGACAGAGGUGGCAGUUGAUGUAGAAAUGCGUAGGGUACGCCUGGUUGCACCUGGAAAAUGGAUGUUGUGUGCAUCAUUUAGGCUUCCUGAGAGUGUAGCAUUUGCAAAUACUAUGUUAAGUAAAUAAGUCAAGUUCAUUGCUAUGAAUCAUUUUUGUCCAAAUAUAUAACAUGGCUCUGUCAGUUGUUAUAGCAUAAUCAAUUCGGAUUCAGUGUUAGCAUCUUACCAUGAACUCAGUUUUGAUUUAAUUAACUUACAACCUCUAAGAAUAUUUGGGUGAACCUAUGGACCAAAAAUUGGCAGUCUUGUUUUACACGUGCGGCUGUGCCAAUGUAUACAAGAUUGUCAUCAUACAUGAUAUAUGGUUUUGAUGGUUUAUUAAAACUGCAACAAUUUACCUCAGAAUUUGUAGUACUGUACAUUUUCCUCAAAUUCCCAAAUUUAUUGAAUUGCUAUUCCUGUAUGCUUGCUUGUUUCAAAUUAUCAAUUCAGAUUGAACAUGGUUGGUAUCUUCAAUAACUCGGCUCCAAAGAGUGAAUGCUUUUAUUUCUUUUUCCUUUCUUUCUUUUGAUUAAUUGUAUCAAGUGUCCAAGAGAGAUAUUUGCUGUAAAAUUUCCACUUGAAAAGGGUACACAUUUUACCCAAAUCAUGGAUCCAUCUUGCUGUUCACGAAUGCCAUGCUUCAAAUACAAAAUAUUCAGUAGCCCUGCUCCAUAAUUGUGCAAGAUCAUACAUGUACAAGAUUUCCUGCAGAACCCAAGUGCAUCUCUUUGAAGAAUAUGUUUCUUUCAAAGCCAGUAAGGAGGCAUCAAUUGGCUUUUGCCCUUUCUCUGCUUAGAAAACAAGGAUUAUUCAUGAGAACAGAUCAAUUAAGCUUAAGGGAGAUCGCUUAUUUUCUUUUUCAUUGUCCCAACUCAACUAACAAAUGACAGCGACCUCUUCAUGGAUCAAAUACACAGAAGUGUACAUAAAUGCUAGAGAAACAUGAAUAUUUGAUGCACAGAUCUGUCCUCUUUGGACGGCCCAGAUCUAUUCCCUCAAACGUUUGCAUGCCCAUUGAUUUUGUCCCUUCAGAAACAGAUCUUUCUGCAAGACACGUUGUCCUGACUGGCUAUGUCAUAUGGAGUUCUAUUUAGGACUAAGGUCUGGGACAAGAUGGUCUAUGUGGGGUUGAUGGGUAAGGGCAAAAAUGGCAGGAGAAGGCAGAGAAACAGUCGGAGGAAAAAAGAAAGCAAAUCUCAGUUCAGAUUGAGAUCUAAAUAAUUACAUGCAUCUGUGUGGUCCUUAAUUGAGUUUCAUUUGGGGAUGGAGAGAUGUGAGAGGAUCUUUGGCUAUUUUGUCCUAAAAUGGUUAGAUCUUUCACAAGUUGCAUAAAGCCAAAACUAACAGUUACUUUAACUUCAGGCUUUCUUGGGGCAACCUCCAGGAAACCAAUGGAAAACAUCAAUGCUUGCCGCCUACCUCACUCUCUCUCUCUCAUUUAUAUAACAAAACCCUUUCUCCACCAAAACAUGCCCAUUAAUGGAAAUGGUUUUCCAAUUAUCAUCUGCAUAAUUAAGCUAUAAAUGGCCAAGUGAUGGGGGAAAGGAGAAAUUGCAAGUGUGGAAAGUUCUCAACAGAGAAGGCUAACUAUGUUUACAUCAAUAAGUUGCAUAUGCCUCCUUUUCAUAUUUCUUAUUUUAGAAGCAAAGCAAGGGCUUUUUUUCCUAGUUAUCCCACACAACUUGUAGCUGGC